CCUACGGGAGUCUGCAGUGAGGAAUAUUGGUCAAUGGGCGCGAGCCUGAACCAGCCAAGUCGCGUGAGGGAGGACGGCCCUACGGGUUGUAAACCUCUUUUGCCGGGGAGCAACGGGCGUCACGUGUGGCGCCACUGAGAGUACCCGGAGAAAAAGCAUCGGCUAACUCCGUGCCAGCAGCCGCGGUAAUACGAAGGAUGCGAGCGUUAUACGGAUUUAUUGGGUUUAAAGGGUGCGUAGGCGGAUCGUUAAGUCAGUGGUCAAAUUGAGGGGCUCAACCCCUUCCCGCCAUUGAAACUGGCGUUCUUGAGUGGAAGAGAAGUAUGCGGAAUGCGUGGUGUAGCGGUGAAAUGCAUAGAUAUCACGCAGAACCCCGAUUGCGAAGGCAGCAUGCCGGCUUCCGACUGACGCUGAAGCACGAAAGCGUGGGGAUCGAACAGGAUUAGAUACCCUUGUAGUC
rnacentral:rRNA from 1 species